rnacentral:rRNA from 1 species
CACGUAGGAGGCGAGCGUUGUCCGGAAUCAUUGGGCGUAAAGAGCGCGCAGGCGGCUUGGCAAGUCGGGUGUGAAAUCCCGGGGCUCAACCCCGUGACUGCAUCCGAUACUGUCAGGCUAGAGGUAGGUAGGGGAGAUCGGAAUUCCUGGUGUAGCGGUGAAAUGCGCAGAUAUCAGGAGGAACACCGGUGGCGAAGGCGGAUCUCUGGGCCUUACCUGACGCUCAGGCGCGAAAGCUAGGGGAGCAAACGGG